rnacentral:rRNA from 1 species
UCGAGCGCAGGAAGUUAUCUGAUCCUCUUUUAGAGGUGACGAUAAUGGAAUGAGCGGCGGACGGGUGAGUAACACGUAGGCAACCUGCCUGUAAGACUGGGAUAACUCGUGGAAACGCGAGCUAAUACCGGAUAACACUUUUCAUCUCCUGAUGAUAAGUUGAAAGGCGGCUUUUGCUGUCACUUACAGAUGGGCCUGCGGCGCAUUAGCUAGUUGGUAAGGUAAUGGCUUACCAAGGCGACGAUGCGUAGCCGACCUGAGAGGGUGAUCGGCCACACUGGGACUGAGACACGGCCCAGACUCCUACGGGAGGCAGCAGUAGGGAAUCUUCCGCAAUGGACGAAAGUCUGACGGAGCAACGCCGCGUGAGUGAUGAAGGUUUUCGGAUCGUAAAACUCUGUUGUUAGGGAAGAACAAGUGCCAUAGUAACUGAUGGCACCUUGACGGUACCUAACCAGAAAGCCACGGCUAACUACGUGCCAGCAGCCGCGGUAAUACGUAGGUGGCAAGCGUUGUCCGGAAUUAUUGGGCGUAAAGCGCUCGCAGGCGGUUCUUUAAGUCUGAUGUGAAAUCUUACGGCUCAACCGUAAACGUGCAUUGGAAACUGGGGAACUUGAGUGCAGAAGAGGAGAGUGGAAUUCCACGUGUAGCGGUGAAAUGCGUAGAGAUGUGGAGGAACACCAGUGGCGAAGGCGACUCUCUGGUCUGUAACUGACGCUGAGGAGCGAAAGCGUGGGGAGCGAACAGGAUUAGAUACCCUGGUAGUCCACGCCGUAAACGAUGAGUGCUAGGUGUUAGGGG